AUUGAACGCUGGCGGCAUGCCUUACACAUGCAAGUCGAACGGCAGCACGGGAGCAAUCCUGGUGGCGAGUGGCGAACGGGUGAGUAAUGUAUCGGAACGUACCUUUCAGUGGGGGAUAACGUAGCGAAAGUUACGCUAAUACCGCAUAUUCUGUGAGCAGGAAAGCAGGGGAUCGCAAGACCUUGCGCUGAUUGAGCGGCCGAUAUCAGAUUAGCUAGUUGGUGAGGUAAAGGCUCACCAAGGCGACGAUCCGUAGCUGGUCUGAGAGGGCGACCAGCCACACUGGAACUGAGACACGGUCCAGACUCCUACGGGAGGCAGCAGUGGGGAAUUUUGGACAAUGGGGGCAACCCUGAUCCAGCCAUUCCGCGUGAGUGAAGAAGGCCUUCGGGUUGUAAAGCUCUUUCGGCCGGGAAGAAAUCGUAUGGGCUAAUACCCUGUGCGGAUGACGGUACCGGCAUAAGAAGCACCGGCUAACUACGUG
rnacentral:rRNA from 1 species